rnacentral:rRNA from 1 species
UACGGGAGGCAGCAGUGGGGAAUAUUGCACAAUGGGCGCAAGCCUGAUGCAGCCAUGCCGCGUGUAUGAAGAAGGCCUUCGGGUUGUAAAGUACUUUCAGUCGUGAGGAAGGUGUUAAGGUUAAUAACCUUAGCAAUUGACGUUAGCGACAGAAGAAGCACCGGCUAACUCCGUGCCAGCAGCCGCGGUAAUACGGAGGGUGCGAGCGUUAAUCGGAAUUACUGGGCGUAAAGGGCACGCAGGCGGUUAAUUAAGUUGGAUGUGAAAUCCCCGGGCUUAACCUGGGAAUGGCAUUCAAGCUGGUUAGCUAGAGUCUUGUAGAGGGGGUAGAAUUCCAUGUGUAGCGGUGAAAUGCGUAGAGAUGUGGAGGAAUACCGGUGGCGAAGGCGGCCCCUGGGACAAAGGCUGACGCUCAUGUGCGAAAGCGUGGGGAGCAAACG